GUCCAGACUCCUACGGGAGGCAGCAGUGGGGAAUAUUGCACAAUGGGGGAAACCCUGAUGCAGCAACGCCGCGUGAGUGAUGACGGCCUUCGGGUUGUAAAGCUCUGUCUUCAGGGACGAUAAUGACGGUACCUGAGGAGGAAGCACCGGCUAACUCCGUGCCAGCAGCCGCGGUAAUACGGGGGGUGCAAGCGUUGUCCGGAAUCAUUGGGCGUAAAGCGUUCGUAGGCGGCAAGGUAAGUCUGAUGUUAAAGCCCGGGGCUCAACUCCGGUUCGGCAUUGGAUACUAUCUAGCUAGAAUGUGGUAGAGGUAAAGGGAAUUCCUGGUGUAGCGGUGAAAUGCGUAGAUAUCAGGAGGAACAUCGGUGGCGAAAGCGCUUUACUGGACCAUUAUUGACGCUGAGGAGCGAAAGCCAGGGGAGCAAAUGGGAUUAGAUACCCGUGUAUC
rnacentral:rRNA from 1 species